UCAUCCGGAUUAGCUCCCUGAACACACGUGACGUAGCAACCUGGCGAAUGACGUCAUCUUUCAAAGUGGCAAGCCCGCUCUGAAACAAACUGCUGGGAGAGGAGAGAGUAGACCCCGGCAGCGGAGCCAGGACGAGCCCGGGCGCGGAGAAGAAAGAAGCAGACGCUGUGUUCCUCGUGGAUGGCUCCCUGACAUCCUUCAUCACAAGUAGCCGAGUAUGGUGUAUAUGCUGCAGUAGAUGUUGUUUUAUCCUGUUAUAUACAUAUCAUUGUUUAAUAAAUGAGUUCCUCGGACUGCAGUACCUGUGAGCAGCUUCGGCGCCUGGAGCAACACCGCAAUCUGCAGGAGGCUUUGAAGAUGGUAGUAGUCCGGAGAGCACGACAGAGGGUCCGCAUUGUAGGAGCAUUCAGCAGGAAGGGGACAGGCACCUGGGAGUAAUCCAGAACCAGGAAUAGAAGCUCCACCAGACGGCGGGGCUACAGGCAGGAGAGCAGAGUAAUGGCGACUAAGCAUUUGGAAGCGUGGCAGGCCCCAGUGCAGAGCGGAGGAUCAGGGAGGCACACAGAGGUCAGAGUUCAGCAGAAGGACAUCAGGUACAGCCCUCUGGUGGAAGAGAUUGGAGUGAAGGGCCCCCGGAGUUCUAUGACAGAACAGACACGUACAGUAACAAGGACCUCACGGCGGCCUCCAGGGUGACGCAGAUCUUAGAUCGGGCCUUGAAGACGCUUGAUGAACGGCCUGAGGAAUAUAAAGAUUACAAUACUAGGAAAAUGGUUCUACGUGUACAGGCCGAAGCCUACAGUGCAAACUAUGAAUACAACUCAGACUGCAAAUGAAAGGACAUUUUACUGGGUUUUGUUUUAUCCCUGAACAUUGUCCAGUUCUUCAGCACAGAUGGAUGGGGUGGGUUGGGGGUAAAUACAUACAGUACAGUACAGUAUCUCGUGAUUAGUUCCACUCCUCCGUGACCCCGGGCAAUUGACAUUUUUUUGCCGAUUGUUUUACAGAAAACACGUUUUAUUCCUUAGUAAAGACUGUUGCAUUUUAUACUGUUGGGUUUGUUUGUAACUACUUCUUACAUUACAAGAAUGAAAUAAAUAUUCUUAUUAUA